UGCAUGAAGUUGGAAUCACUAGUAAUCGCGGAUCAGCAUGCCGCGGUGAAUGCGUUCUCGGGCCUUGUACACACCGCCCGUCACACCAUGAGAGUCGGGAACACCCGAAGUCCGUAGCCUAACCGCAAGGGGGCGCGGCCGAAGGUGGGCUCGAUAAUUGGGGUGAAGUCGUAACAAGGUAGC
rnacentral:rRNA from 1 species